UUUGAUUGUUUACUAUUUCUAUAAGUGUUGUUUUUAAUAAUGCUACCUUAUCUUUACACAGACAUCAUCCAAGAAAACACCCAAGACUUACGUAAAUUCAUUCACAUUUCUGACAUACAUACCCUCAGAGGUAAUUAGCUGCCUUCAAGAGAAUAAACACAAAAGCAAUAACACUUUUGUGUUCAAGACAAAGUAUUCAUAAAUGCAGUGUGAAAUGACAAAAGUAUGAACAUCCCCAAAAAUACUUUUGCGUUAAUUCAUGAUGGAGAGACAUCGUAACUUGUAAUAAUAUACAUGCUAGCAUAGCAUAGCUGCUGUUUAAGAGAAUAAACCACAGUUAUUGCCUCAUUGAUAUCUACAGGAAGGUCCUGUUAAUGGAAAUAAUUCCGAGCAGGUAAGUGUCGUGUUUUUUGUUUGCUUCAAACAGAGUAAUAUUCGGAGCCACAGUUAUACUAUAUCAUGCUGUAAAUCUCGCCUCUAGUAAGAUAGCUUUAAAAGCUUUCAGAUUAAGUCUCAGUUAUGUUAUUUUAUAUAUAUGUCCUGAUUCUUUUCCACUACAGAUGACAAACCAUACGUUAAAUGCAAAUACAACCCAAGAAAGUAUUUUGGAAACAACCGUUGCACCGAACCUUGCAGAGAAUGAUGGGAAACAUAAUGACACAUGAGUCUCAGACACAACUCAAGGGCUACAAAACCCUGAAGACAAGUCAUGGUAAGUUUCAUGUGGUUCAAAAAAAUUGCAUUGUUUUUUUUUUUUAUGUUAUUUGUGAUAAGUUGUUCAACCCUUUUUCUUCUCAGAUUAAGGACAAGUAAAAAGACAAGAGAAUUGGAAAACAGUCAACCCUGAUGAAAUGACAUGCUUUAUUGUCUGUUGAACAAAUUACCUUUGUAUUGUACAAUAUGCAACGUCACAUGUAAAAGAUGUGCCUGAUUAAAUGUACAAAGAAAAAAAGAAACCCAACUCAUGACCAUAAUGACUGUGCUAUGCUAGACGGUGAAUGAUAAAACAUUGAGAGUAAGCUAUUAUUAUUAUAGUACAGUAUAUCAAAAGUAGAUAAUUGCAUUAGUAAAGUUAAAGGGUUAAAUAACAAUUUUAUUAGCCUAUGUAUGCUUAUCAAAAGUGUAAUUUUCAUUAUUUGGUGAUAAUUAAACUGUCCACUGGGGAAGUUGUUUCUGGGUUAAAACUUGUAAUAACUACUUUGAAAUCACAUCUCAAACUGUGAUAAUCCGCUGAUUAUAUGUUCUUAAAUAACAUAAUAUAUAAUAAAAACUUGAGGUAGCCAACAAGCCUACAAAACUACCAAUGUUAAAUGCCAAGAGAAUCUGAUUUAUAAUCUCUUGGGUAGAGGUUUAAACAAUAAGGCUAGAUGUUGAGAAUGGACACAAAACCUAGUCUGUUGAUAAUUUAGGCCUAUUUCUUCUCACAUUCAUGUGUUUGUAUUUCCUGUCAAAUUGCUUCAUAUAUUGUCCAAAAUGAUAUUCUAUAUGUUCGUCAAAAAAGGAUUUGCACCUGUAUGGUCUGUAUGGUCAUGGUUAAAAUGGGAUAACCAGACCAAUCCAGCAGAUAUAUUUCAGGGAUUAUUUUAACAUGCCCCUAAUCUAAUUUGACCUGAGACAGAGGAGACUAAUAAUUGCCUGACUAAUCCUUGUUUACAUUUUUUAUAUAUUCAUUGUAUAUGUUUAGAUUGAAACUUUAUAUACAGGUGCAUCUCAAUAAAUUAGAAUGUCGUGGAAAAGUUCAUUUAUUUCAGUAAUUCAACUCAAAUUGUGAAACUCGUGUAUUAAAUAAAUUCAAUGCACACAGACU
rnacentral:lncRNA from 1 species